AUACGGAGGGUGCAAGCGUUAAUCGGAAUCACUGGGCGUAAAGCGCACGUAGGCGGCUUGGUAAGUCAGGGGUGAAAUCCCACAGCCCAACUGUGGCACUGCCUUUGAUACUGCCAGGCUUGAGUACCGGAGAGGGUGGCGGAAUUACAGGUGUAGGAGUGAAAUCCGUAGAUAUCUGGAGGAACACCGGUGGCGAAGGCGGCCACCUGGACGGUAACUGACGCUGAGGUGCGAAAGCGUGGGUAGCAAACAGGAUUAGAUACCCUGGUAGUCCACGCUGUAAACGAUGGGUGCUGGGUGCUGGGAUGUAUGUCUCGGUGCCGUAGCUAACGCAAUAAGUAUUCCGCCUGGGGAGUACGGCCGCAAGGUUGAAACUUAAAGGAAUUGACGGGG
rnacentral:rRNA from 1 species